GACAGAGGGUGCAAACGUUGCUCGGAAUCACUGGGCGUAAAGGGCGUGUAGGCGGGUAGAUAAGUCGGGCGUGAAAUCCCUAGGCUCAACCUAGGAACUGCACUCGAAACUGUUUAUCUUGAGUGCCGGAGAGGAAAGCGGAAUUCCUGGUGUAGAGGUGAAAUUCGUAGAUAUCAGGAGGAACACCAGUGGCGAAGGCGCUUUCUGGACGGUAACUG
rnacentral:rRNA from 1 species